AAAGAGGUUUAAAACAAUAAGGACUGCUAAUCCUUUAUCCCCACGGCUAAACUCCG
rnacentral:tRNA from 1 species